GCUUGCAGAGCCUUUAGCAGCCUGUACGUGCCUCACAUUUCUGAUAUUCUGCAUUGCUCUGCUCCACUUGGUAUUCGGACGCCUUGGCUAAGAGGAGCCACUGUAAGAAUGUUGAAUAUUGGAUUGUACGUUCCCGGUUUCAUUUCUCUGCCCGCCCACCCACUACCGAGGGCAUCAUCAAGGUGACC
rnacentral:lncRNA from 1 species